rnacentral:rRNA from 1 species
CCUACGGGAGGCAGCAGUGAGGAAUAUUGGUCAAUGGCCGGAAGGCUGAACCAGCCAUGCCGCGUGAAGGUCAGUGCCCUAUGGGCGUUAAACUUCUUUUGUGCGGGAGCAAUAAUGGUCACGUUUGGCCCGACUAGAGUACCGUUCGAAUAAGCAUCGGCUAACUCCGUGCCAGCAGCCGCGGUAAUACGGGGGAUGCAAGCGUUAUCCGGAUUUAUUGGUUUUAAAGGGUGCGUAGGCUGUGAGGUAAGUCAGCGGUGAAAUGCCCCCGCUCAACGGGGUGAAGUGCCAUUGAUACUGCGUGGCUGGAAUGCGGAUGCGGUGGGAGGAAUGUGUGGUGUAGCGGUGAAAUGCAUAGAUAUCACACAGAACACCGAUUGCGAAGGCAUCUCACGAAGCCGCGAUUGACGCUGAUGCACGAAAGCGUGGGUAUCAAACAGGAUUAGAUACCCGGGUAGUC